GAGCACGUAGGUGGGUUUGUAAGUCAGAUGUGAAAGCCUUCUGUUCAACGGAAGAAUUGCAUCUGAAACUGCGAGUCUUGAGUGUAGGUGGGGAGAAUGGAACUUCUGGUGGAGCGGUGAAAUGCGUAGAUAUCAGAAGGAACGCCGGCGGCGAAAGCGAUUCUCUGGCCUAUUACUGACACUCAGUGUGCGAAAGCUAGGGGAGCAAACGGGAUUAGAUACCCCGGUAGUCCUAGCCGUAAACGAUGGGCACUAAGUAGAGGGGUUUU
rnacentral:rRNA from 1 species